UACGGAGGGUGCGAGCGUUGUUCGGAAUUACUGGGCGUAAAGGGCGCGCAGGCGGCUUUAUAAGUCAGAUGUGAAAGUCCACGGCUUAACUGUGGAAGUGCAUUUGAAACUGUGAGGCUUGAGUACCAGAGGGGAAGGUGGAAUUCCCGGUGUAGAGGUGAAAUUCGUAGAUAUCGGGAGGAAUACCGGUGGCGAAGGCGACUUUCUGGCUGGAUACUGACGCUGAGGCGCGAAAGCGUGGGGAGCAAACAGG
rnacentral:rRNA from 1 species